AGGGGUAUGCACUAAUUGAAUAUGGGAACUUUGAAGAAUCACAGAAAGCCAUAAAUGAAAUGGAUGGAACUGAAUUGCUCACUCAAACCAUCAACGUUGAUUGGGCAUUCAGCAAGGGGCCCUUUAAAAGGAGGAAUAUGAGGAGAAGAUCAUCACGUGGACACCGUUCAAGAAGUCCUAGGAGAAGAUUCUAAUCAUGCAAGGAUUUGUGGAUUUAUGUUGGAAUGAGAAACAAGAUGUUUGGGCAAGUUUUUUUUUGGGUAAUUUGACUUGUAACUGAUUGGGUGAAAGAUUAUUAUUCUGUUUGCUGAGGUUCCCUUCCGUGGCCUCUUUGGCGGAUGUUUGUUAGGAUGUUUCUUCUAAAUCAUGUAAUAUGUUGCAAUAUUGGGUUGGUAUUCAUGGUUGUUUCUUGGACUAGCUUAUUGCUCUGCACUUGGACAAUCGACCUUUGAUACCAUUUUCCAGGAUCAUCUUGCA